rnacentral:rRNA from 1 species
UGGGGGAUAUUGCACAAUGGGCGAAAGCCUGAUGCAGCGACGCCGCGUGGGGGAUGAAGGCUUUCGGGUUGUAAACCUCUUUCGCUAUCGAACAAGGCCCGCUUAGGGUGGGUUGAGGGUAGGUGGAGAAGAAGCGCCGGCUAACUACGUGCCAGCAGCCGCGGUAAUACGUAGGGCGCGAGCGUGGUCCGGAAUUAUUGGGCGUAAAGGGCGUGUAGGCGGCUUGUUGCGCCUGCUGUGAAAACGCGGGGCUUAACUUCGCGGGUUCGGUGGGUACGGGCAGGCUCGAGUGUGGUAGAGAUGACGGGAGUUCCAGGUGUAGCGGUGGAGUGCGCAGAUAUCUGGAGGAACACCGAUGGCGAAGGCAGGUCACUGGGGCAUUACUGACGCUGAGAAGCGAAAGCAUGGGUAGCGAACAGG